GACGAACGCUGGCGGCGUGCUUAACACAUGCAAGUCGAACGGUGAAGCGCCUUCCUUUUUGGUGGGUGUGGAUGAGUGGCGAACGGGUGAGUAACACGUGAGUAACCUGCCCCCUUCUUCUGGAUAACCGCAUGAAAGUGUGGCUAAUACGGGAUAUUCUGGGUCUGUCGCAUGAUGGGUCUGGGAAAGAUAUUGUUUCGGUGGGGGAUGGGCUCGCGGCCUGUCAGCUUGUUGGUGGGGUGAUGGCCUACCAAGGCGGUGACGGGUAGCCGGCCUGAGAGGGUGGACGGUCACACUGGGACUGAGACACGGCCCAGACUCCUACGGGAGGCAGCAGUGGGGAAUAUUGCACAAUGGGCGCAAGCCUGAUGCAGCGACGCCGCGUGAGGGAUGGAGGCCUGCGGGUUGUGAACCUCUUUCGCCAGUGAAGCAGGCCUGCCUCGUUUGUGGGUGGGUUGACGGUAGCUGGAUAAGAAGCGCCGGCUAACUACGUG
rnacentral:rRNA from 1 species